GAGAUAGCUGGUUCUCCCCGAAAUAGUUUUAGGACUAGCCUCAUGUUAGAUUUCCGGAGGUAAAGCACUGAAUAGCCUAGGGCCCGAGAGGGUACCGAAGCUUAUCAAACUAAGAAUGCCGGAAAAUUGAUGCAUGGGAGUCAGACUGUGUGAGAUAAGUCUCACAGUCAAAAGGGAAACAGCCCAGAUCUACAGCUAAGGUCCCAAAGCAGGUUUAAGUGGAAAAGGAUGUGAAGUUGCUAAGACAACCAGGAUGUUGGCUUAGAAGCAGCCACUCAUUCAAAGAGUGCGUAAUAGCUCACUGGUCGAGUGACUUUGCGCCGAAAAUUCAACGGGGCUAAAACCUGCACCGAAGCUUAGGCAACGUCUUUGACGUUGGGUAGGGGAGCGUUGUGUACGCGGCGAAGUUAUAGCGUAAGCGGUAGUGGAGUGUACACAAGUGAGAAUGCCGGAAUGAGUAGCGAGAAUUGUGUGAGAAUCACAAUGGCCGAAAGCCUAAGGUUUCUGGAGGAAGGUUCGUCCGCUCCAGGUUAGCCGGGAGCUAAGGUGAGGCCGAAAGGCGUAGCCGAUGCACAUACGGUAGAGAUUCCGUAGCCACCGAAACAGUUAAGCAUGGGGACACUUUUGAAAUGUUUGUGCCGGGCGUUGGUUGCCCCGGUCGUGAGGGACCGAAAUUUAGUAGGGAAGUCGAGCAUGGAGAGAGGCGAGAAAAGCCAUGUGUAUUUGUAAGGUGCCCGUACCGCAAACCGACACAGGUAGGUAGGAAGAGGAUUCUAAGGCCAACGGGAGAAGGGUUGUUAAGGAACUCGGCAAGUUGACCCCGUAACUUAGGGAUAAGGGGUGCUCAUGGAAACAUGAGCCGCAGAGAAUAGGCCCAAGCAACUGUUUAGCAAAAACACAGGUCUGUGCUAAAUCGAAAGAUGACGUAUACGGGCUGACACCUGCCCGGUGCUGGAAGGUUAAGGGGAGUUGUGCAAGCAGCGAACUGAAGCCCCAGUAAACGGCGGCCGUAACUAUAACGGUCCUAAGGUAGCGAAAUUCCUUGUCAGGUAAGUUCUGACCCGCACGAAUGGUGUAAUGAUUUGGGCACUGUCUCAACAGCCCGCCCGGCGAAAUUGUAGUACCGGUGAAGAUGCCGGUUACCCGCGACAAGACGGAAAGACCCCAUGGAGCUUUACUGUAGCCUAAUAUUGGGUCUUGGUAUUACAUGUACAGGAUAGGUGGGAGACUAGGAAACCCGGGCGUCAGCUCGGGCGGAGUCACCCUUGGGAUACCACCCUUGUGAUACUAGGAUUCUAACCUGCGGCCCUGAAUCGGGUCGGGGGACAUUGUUAGGUGGGCAGUUUGACUGGGGCGGUCG
rnacentral:rRNA from 1 species